ensembl:lncRNA
CUGGGAGAGAGGCAGUCACUCUCAGCAUGAAGGCAUCCCCUGCGUCACAGUGUGAUUGAAAGAUAAGAUUGAAAGAUAGAUAGAUAGAUCGGGGAUAUAGGUGCCUUAUUUUAUAAUCGGCCAUCAAACAUGGAAUUCCUGAUUAUAGAGUGACUGCAACUUUUUCUGAUUUGGAUUAUCUCUGGGGCUUAUGGACACAGACUGGGUUGAAACCAACAGGGCAUACCAUCGGAUCCCAGAGCCAGGGGAGACCCAGAGGGAGGGGCCGCCCGGGGCCCGGUGGAUCAGCGUCUUCGGUCCAUCACUGUACCCUCAACCAGACCUGGCUGCCCUUGCUGGACAGCCUGCCACUCUUCCAGAGGCAGAUGAUGGAGAAGUACUUCACACCUGUGUACCGCCCACCAACUCAGGAAGAGAUGAGGAAGCCCAAGAACCAUCAUCACUACCCCAAUGACCAGCCACAACACCACCCUCAUGCUCACGCUCACCAGGCCUAUCACAGCCCAGAUGACCAGCCACAUCACCGCCCUCGACCAGACCAUGAAUCACUCGGCUAUGCAAACUUAGUCGGAACCGAUGAAAACACAGAUGACAGCCAGGCACACCACCAGAACCACCACCGCCGCCCUCGGCACGCAGAGCAUCUCCACGAGAACCUCCCCCAUGACUACCAUCAGCCUCCACAUCCGCUCUAUCAGCCCCACGCAUCUCAUGAGAGCGAGAUCCAAAACCCGCAGCUCACGAGGGUCACCCUGUCCCGAGCCUCGUCCUCCUCCCUCUCGUCCUCGUCCUCCUCUUCCUCCUUGUUCUCGUCCUACUCCUGGAAGACGGAGCCCAGCGAGCCCCUGUCCAACCGCCCCCCUCAGCGGCCGCAUCACUCCCUCUCCUGCUCCAACAUCCUGGAGGUCCGCACCGGGUUCCGGCAGGACGGCGGCAGCGAGCCCCUCGUCGUCGCCACCGUAACCCGCGGUGCGCCUGAGGCCCCUCCCCACGACCGCGCAGCGGGCCACUCACGGCGGAACGAACGUGCCCGCGGCUCCCUGCCGGACCAGAGCCACAGUGACGAGGGCCUCCUGCAGACCAGUGAGGACGAGGUGGAGGCAGGCCGACGGCGGCGUGUGGCCCCCCCGCUCCACGGAGUGCUCUACAAGACCGCCAGCUUAGGGCGCAGCCUGGCCUUCAGCGAGGAGAACCUGGUACUGGGAGCGUCAGGGAGGCCCCGCAGGGCAGGGUUCACCAACCAAAUCCCUAGCAAGGGGAUCCUCAAGAACCGGGAACCUCACCCGGACAUCCGCAAAGCGAGGUCUAUGGAGGUUCUGUCCCCCCGGGUGGCCAACGGACAGGGCAAAGGUAGAGAGAAAGGGAAGGGCGCUGGGCGGGCCGACAUUCAGACAGCCAGGGAGAGCUUUGUGAAGGGGAAGAUGCAGUUCUCCGCCUUCCUGGACGAGAUCACGAAACAGGUCAUCAGUCCGUCCAACCUCAACAGUUUAGGGGUCAACCAAGGUAAAGCCCCUGGGGAGACCACGGGCCCCGCUCCCGGGGCGAGGGGCCCUGGGCGGCCAAGCCUCAGCUUCCCGUCAAGAAGCACAGAGAGAGCUCUGGAGAGGAGAGAGAACAGCAUCACAAACCGCCAGCCACACAGGACAGAAGGGAGCCUCGCGGAAACUUUCCGUCGCAUCAUUCCCCACACCCCGACCAGCCCAAUCCCGACAAGCUGAGCUCGUACGCGGCCAGGCGGCACAGAGGCAGCCCCCCUCUGCAUCACCAUCCCCAAACCUCCAGCCCCCAUCCCCCCCAAGGUUGCACCCAUAAGGAAGGGAGGGAGCCAGGGAUUGCGGGCCACAAAGCAAGGGAAAGCGACAUCCGAUGUGGUUCUCAUUUAACCGAUGGAACCAUCAGCCCGGAGCCUAUCCCGCCCAAACAACGAAACCACCGCAAGCCCCGGAACACAGCCGCCCACAGUCCACCCCCACCACCCCUUCCACCCCACAUUCAGCCCCGCCAUGGGUACACAAGCCCUGGGCAUCAAGAGGAUGGACCAGGAGCCCUCCAGACCCAGGGUUCACCACUAGACCAUGAAUCAGAGCCUGGUUCCUGUAGGUCAGACUCUUCUCGAACCAGGGAGUCCACGAGUCAGAACAGCCAAAACUCGGACCAGAGUGUCCGACAUCGGUCUCACGCAGCACGCAGAGGACACACUGAUCCACAUCAUAAGGUCUCACUUGGUGGUUCGGAACAAUUCCAGGCCCUGCUGGAUGAGAACACAGACCUCCAUCAGAACCUGCUGCAGACGGUGGUCUUCAUCGAGAGCCUGCAGGCAGAGCUAACCAGGAGCAGGGAGGAGCUGAGCCAUGUCAAGGACAAGUACAGAAGUCUUGUGGAGACACACACAGGGACCAAGCAGACCAACACCCGGCCAGGGGAGCACCUGCACAUCACGUCUGAGAGUCUGAGCAGUGAGAGAAAGUACCUGAUCAACCGCAUUGCCGAGCUGAGCUCCGAGCUAGAGGAGGCCCAAAGGACCAUCGCUGCUCUGGAGACCAUCAAUGUGAGCUAAUAGCGCCAUCUAGCAGCUGGAACCAAGCCCCUUCCCCUCACCUACACCUACCAUUUUAAAAUGACCAUUUAAAAGAUCGAGUCAUUGAACCACGCUGUUCGUCAUCGCUCUGUGACCAUAUCCUUAUAAUACAAACUAGUAAGAACACUCUUUAUGGGUUGUUACCGGCACAUGUCAUAUUUCACCAUCAGACACGCCUGGCUAAUUAAAAUGCAAUCGUAUCAAAAGGUCUGAACACCUUUUGCACUUAAAAGUGCUUAUAUGGUCAAGAAGCAUUGUAAUUGAUUUAGUAACUAAUAGAUGAAAGUCGCUGGUUAAGUGUUUUGGUCCCGGAUCCCUGAGCUACAGUAUAUAGACUUCACAGUAUCGAGCUUCCCAGCUCGAGCUUCCCAGUGACUAACUCUUCACUCUGCAGUAAACGUCUGUGGCUCUCGACAGGUGCCCUGUCUGAUCAAGGAGCUGCUGGAGAAGCACUUUGACUCUGCAGAGGCAGUCCAACAGUUCCUGAAAACAGCCACCACAGCCAACCGCCCCAAUACCCCUUCUCUGCCGGACCUUAGCCAAUCCGGGGCUUCCAAUGUGGUGGAGGCGCCCUAUGAUUGGCUGACGGAGCCAGAGGCGGAUCCAGGCAGGGUGACGGCCUUCAUGCCUUGGAAACAGGAGGCAUCAGCUGUGACAGCGUCAGCUGUGCCGGCGUCAGCUGACGACUCUGGUGGUUACUGUACGAGCCAGAGCCAGCCGUUCUCCAUCGCCGACAUAAGCGCCGCCAUCUAUAAGAAGAUCGCCUCAGAAAUUGCUGCCAAUCACAGGUCUCCCCCACCAAAGUCACUGCACGGCUGUCCCAAGGGGACGAACCACACCGGGCCAGCGGGCCCCCGUGCCCAUGUGCGGCAGGUCCUGGAGACAGCUGAGCCGGGGCCCGGAGAAGUGACCUAUCUGUCAGCCCAACAGGUCCUGGAUGAGUUCAUCAACCAGCUGCAUCCCCAAAACAAGGCCAGUGACGGCAAGCCAUCACAUAUGUCGACCUCCUAUGAGUAGGAUUAGGGAGGAGGUGGGAGGAGGCGUGACAGCAGGGACUCUGUUGGUUGCACUAAGUCAGGGAAACCUUCCAAUCAAACCACAAGGAUACAGCAACCGCACCACCAACAGCAGUUCUUUCUGAUUGCAGUAUAAAAGUAACAUAAGAAAGUUACUUGGCACCCAGUGGAACAAGAGAGAGAGUUAACCUAUCGGAAUACUAUUGUAUUACCUGGGUUUGCUGAUGGUCCUGUGGUUUGCCUUUAUAAACCAUUUUCAGAGGAGACAUCUUAGCACAAAGCACAAAGUGUGGCUCGUAUGUCCCUUACAACAAAUGGGUCUGUUACCUUUACAUGCCAGGGCACACACAUUGACCAUUGCUAUUGUUUGACACACAUUAGUGAAUCCUCUGCUUACCUUCCCAAUGUUGGGGGCUUCAGCUGUGUGUGCCCUGCCUUGCCAGCUCUGUGAAAAGGGCACAUGGUCAUGGUCUGUUAUCUUCACCGUCGUCUAGUCUAGUACACUACCCGUGGCCUGUGGUAGCCUUGCAUAAAACAGUCCUACGACCAGGUGCCUGGUGAAAAGGGUCUCUAAACUGUAAUAGUCUAUUGUCAUAUAUUAUAUAUACAGUUAAAGUAUUGUUUUUUGUCUACAUUUAAUAUGGUUUAAUGGUUACUUUCAGAGGAAUAUUUAACAGAGCAUUAAUGAAAAAGUUAUAUAAAACAUUCUCGCAUUUUGGCAAAUCAUAUUGGCAUUCAAACUAUAGAAAAUGAUGUUAAAUAUGAUUCAAUUGCGAGUUAUUUAAGUUCCUGUAUAUACUGUUUGAAUAUAGCAUAAACUUUUCAAAAAGAUUGAAAUAUGAUUCAAUUGCAAAAUAUUUUAGGUCCUAUUUAAGUAUGUAAUGUCAGAAUAUAGAAAUGAAAUGGAAUAUCUGGAUGGUCUCAAAAGGCAAGUUCCAAUAAUAAUUGUUUCAAUUGUUCACUUUAAUGUCAAUGGCUGAUUCUACUCAGGUUUUUUAGGUAGGCCUUUGUCAUACCAAAAUAAUACUGAAUGCAUUCUCCUCCUUUUUGUGUGUUUAGGCCUGCUAAGAUAUGUGCAUGCUAGGCUUUGUGGGCAUUGUCUAGUGCUUCCCUUAUGUACACAAACAUGUCUGUAGGAUUGAUGUAGUCUACAAAUGAAUGUAGUACUAACGUAUACAAUAAUGUUGUACUGAUAUAGUAAUCUUGAAGCAAAAAGUAAUUGUGUCCGGGUAUCCUAUUUGUACAUACAGGGUUCAGUUUAUUAGUGUCAAAGUAAUCGUGUUAUUGAUCUUAUUUAUUCACCCUGUCCAACAGUCCCACUGUUAACAGUUUCCAUGACAUGAUGUUGUCGAUCCAGCUCGAUGUGUCGUCUGUGAAACCGCUUCUGUGCUGAUCAAUAA